GUUAUAUUCCCCAGGGACUUACAGUCCACUGCAGAGUUAUUGGGUCAUGGCCAGAGGUAGUAACAACAUUCACAGUACACAUUGUACUGCACCACAUGUCCACUAAGAAGAAAUAUUAACCUUAACAUCAUCUCAUUCUUCCGCUCACAUAGUGUGUUGUGUAGUUUAGGAUCAAAUUUUACAACUCAAAUUAUAUGGGAUAUAUGAACCCCCACCCCAGUGCCCUAUAAUACUAAGCGGUUUAUCAUUUGCUUUAAAUGGAAAUACCAGAAU
rnacentral:lncRNA from 1 species